CUUUAUUACACACCGCCUCCCGCCAGUCGACUGUCAACCACGGAGGCGUGUAGUCGUCUCGUGAACACCGCAGAAAAGCGGCGCGCUAACUGUAAACACGACGCACUAUCUGUGCACCGCUUCCGUUCGCGAAACAACCUCAAUCCCGCGCUUAUGUCAGUGUCGUGUUGUGCCAAAACAGUGAAUCUAAACGAGUGCGAAUGAACUUCCUACAUAAAUUCUAUAUUUGUUUUAAGUGAGAGACUAGCGGGUAGCAUUUGAUAAACUCCAACAGUACCUUUAUAGAUAUGUGAUACGAAAAACGGAUUGCAGACGCCGCCGAACACUGCUGUGAUAUCUUCUGUGAUGUGCGAGUCAGCAUACGGAUAUUUUUAUAUGUGAUUUACCAGUGCCCAGUACAAACCGAGUACAAAAAAAAAACGGAUUUAAAUAAUAUUUAUAUUUACAUUGGAACAAUGAAGGAGGAGUGUAAAUUGUGUAGUGUGAACGGGUGGUGCGGAUCGCAGGGAACCACAGAUUUUUCUAUAAACUCACUAAUGAGGCCCACCGCUCAGCAUCCCGGGCAAAUGGAGCCUCGACACGACGCCGUGCUUCUCUCCACCUACCUGUUCAAACUAGGUGACUAUCCAUUGUAUACGCUUCACGAUUACUACUCCAACUUCGGUAAGCCGCCGUCGUGCAAUCUGUGUGAACAAAUGCCAUUUUUGCCAAUUAAUGGUAAGUAGUCAAUAUUACAACGUGGUUGUCGAUGCUUAUAUUCGCUAAUUAUAUUGUACGUUAAACACAAAAAAAAACCUUUUUUCUUCAAAUAGUAUAAAAAUAGUAUGUAUGCUGGAUAUUUUGUUCA